rnacentral:rRNA from 1 species
AUUGAACGCUGGCGGCAUGCCUUACACAUGCAAGUCGAACGGCAGCACGGGUGCUUGCCCCUGGUGGCGAGUGGCGAACGGGUGAGUAAUACAUCGGAACAUGUCCUGUAGUGGGGGAUAGCCCGGCGAAAGCCGGAUUAAUACCGCAUACGAUCUACGGAAGAAAGCGGGGGACCUUCGGGCCUCGCGCUAUGGGGUUGGCCGAUGGCUGAUUAGCUAGUUGGUGGGGUAAAGGCCUACCAAGGCGACGAUCAGUAGCUGGUCUGAGAGGACGACCAGCCACACUGGGACUGAGACACGGCCCAGACUCCUACGGGAGGCAGCAGUGGGGAAUUUUGGACAAUGGGCGAAAGCCUGAUCCAGCAAUGCCGCGUGUGUGAAGAAGGCCUUCGGGUUGUAAAGCACUUUUGUCCGGAAAGAAAUCCUUGGCCCUAAUACGGUCGGGGGAUGACGGUACCGGAAGAAUAAGCACCGGCUAACUACGUG